CACAUAUUAGCGCCCGACUGUGCCACCAAGCUCAAAUCAGGGGCUGCAAGAUUCCAUCACUAGUCUUCGUGUGGUUGUCUUGGUCUUGGAUUGUAAAGCCCAGUUUGGGAUUUUGCUACAACUGCUCAUUCAGUGAGGAUUCUGAUCGAAGACGAUCAGAAGGAGAAAGGACUUUGCCCAAGUAACUCCAGCUGGUUAUAUUGACACACUAUAUGAAUGUAACGCCAUACAGAGGCAUGUUUCAUGUGUGGCAGAGGUAAGGUUCUAUUAGUGUUCUCCUGAUCUUUAGUCUCGCAGUCUGCACUUCUCCAAGAAUGAAACUGAUUCAUGUCUUCUUAUAUUCUUCCGUAAAGCACUUACAUAAAAACAAUGUGAUAUCCCUUUCAAAUGAGGAAAAAAUAAGACAAAAAGUGUAAAUGACCCUUUUAGAUGAUUGUCAGGUUUAUUUUACUUUGUUAUGUUUCCACUCUUUUUGCAACUGCAUUUCGGAAUAUGUGGUUCUUCUAUUCCAGACUUUCUUAGUCCCUUAAUUUGGAGGUAUAACAAAAUGAGUGAAGUUUUCCCUCGAAAAAAUGAGUGAAGUUUUUGUUACUCCCUCAACAUUUCAUUGAGGCUUUAAAUUAUUUUCAUUCUUUUAUUCCAGGACUAGAGGUAAUUAAAACUUCAUCUGAGGAAGCAAUCUACAAAGUCAAGUGGAGCAAUAGCGUCCAAGCAGUCUUGUUGCUAUGUUCUUGCUUUUGCUGUACACAAAGAGGCCGGGAUUGAGCA
rnacentral:lncRNA from 1 species